GGCAGCAGAGAGGACACGGAAAGGAACAGCAGCAUGUAAUGAAGGUCCUCAGCCACCUCGGACCACAGUUCAAGAGAGCCUCCUUGCGGGAUGUAAUUGGGUUGGGUGCGACCUCUUGGAAAGUCUUCCGGAUUGAGGAGCACAAACUACAAAGUUACACAAAACAGAAAAUGGAUUUCCACUCAAGUCGCUCCACAGGAGUCUCAUGGAGGACAGGGCUGUUGAUCAGGGGCCUGCAUUCAUCUACAAGUGAGCUAAUGUGGUCUCCUUGUUAAUCGACAAAGACCAAUGUCAGUUAAAGGACGUUUUGGCUUUUACUUUGGCUGGCCCUAAACUCACUAUGUGGAACAGGCUGUGGCUGGAGUUCACUAAGAUCUCACUGCUCCCGACUCCCUGGCUUUGGGAUUAAAAGUGUAUUCAACCACAUCCGGACCAACCAUAGAAUUUUGCUGCAACUACAGACUAACAUGUCUCAAAUCUUGCUGACAAACAGGGGCAAACGAGCUGUUUAAAUUCGCAAUAAAAGUUGGUCCUCUCAAAGCCCU